rnacentral:rRNA from 1 species
UACGAAGGAUGCAAGCGUUAUCCGGAUUUAUUGGGUUUAAAGGGAGCGUAGGCGGUCUUAUAAGUCAGUGGUGAAAUCUCGUUGCUUAACAACGACCGUGCCAUUGAUACUGUAGGACUUGAGUACAGUUGCCGUUGGCGGAAUGUGUCAUGUAGCGGUGAAAUGCAUAGAUAUGACACAGAACACCGAUUGCGAAGGCAGCUGACGAAACUGUAACUGACGCUGAGGCUCGAAAGCGUGGGGAUCAAACAGG